rfam:Ixodes scapularis strain Wikel colony gcontig_1108379758102, whole genome shotgun sequence.
GCAGUCGUGGUCGACUGGUUAAGGCGAUGGUCUAGAAAUCCAUCGGGGUCUCCUCGCACAGGUUCGAAUCAUGUCGACUGCG